UGCAGUUGACUUAACGUUAUAAUACUAUUGAUUUGGACUGCUGCAAGAAAAAAAUGGCCCAAGGGACUGGUUUGUCCCAAGACUAAAAACAAAUACGGCCAUGGAUGUCA